rnacentral:rRNA from 1 species
UACGUAGGGCGCAAGCGUUGUCCGGAAUUAUUGGGCGUAAAGAGCUCGUAGGCGGCUUGUCACGUCGGGUGUGAAAGCCCGGGGCUUAACCCCGGGUCUGCAUUCGAUACGGGCUAGCUAGAGUGUGGUAGGGGAGAUCGGAAUUCCUGGUGUAGCGGUGAAAUGCGCAGAUAUCAGGAGGAACACCGGUGGCGAAGGCGGAUCUCUGGGCCGACACUGACGCUGUAGAGCGAAAGCGUGGGGAGCGAACAGG